GUUUGCGUAGUUCAAUGGAUAGAGCUUCGGCCUCCGAAGCCGAAAAUUCGGGUUCGAGUCCCGACGCGAACGCCA
rnacentral:tRNA from 1 species